GUCAACGGUCAUACCACAUUAAAAUUACCACUUCUCAUCUGAUCACUGAAGUACAAACAGCAUUGGGCAUAGUUAGUAUUUGGAUAGGUUUUCCACUUGGGAACACUGUGUACUGUUGACA
rnacentral:rRNA from 1 species